GAUGAAGAACGUAGCGAAAUGCGAUAAGUAAUGUGAAUUGCAGAAUUCAGUGAAUCAUCGAAUCUUUGAACGCACAUUGCGCCCCCUGGUAUUCCGGGGGGCAUGCCUGUUCGAGCGUCAUUUCACCACUCAAGCCUCGCUUCGUAUUGGGCAACGCGGUCCGCCGCGUGCCUCAAAUCGACCGGCUGGGUCUUCUGUCCCCUAAGCGUUGUGGAAACUAUUCGCUAAAGGGUGUUCGGGAGGCUACGCCGUAAAACAACCCCAUUUCUAAGGUUGACCUCGGAUCAGGUAGGGAUACCCGCUGAACUUAAGCAUAUCAAUAAGCGGAGGA
rnacentral:misc_RNA from 1 species